AUUGUGGGCCAGGCGAUCGCUGUUGGAAUUUAUUUAACAGAGGAAAGUCCGGGCAGGUUAGGGCAAGGUGACGGCUAAUGGCCGCUGAGGGUAACCUCCAGGAAAGUGCCACAGAAAACACACCGCCGAUGGCUUCUUUGGAAGAUCAGGUAAGGUUGAAAUGGUGCGGUAAGAGCGCACCGCGACGCUGGUAACAGCGUUGGCCGGGUAAACCCCACCUCCUGCAAGACCAAGCAGAGCUUCAGUAUCGGCCCGAUAUGCUAAGGGCUCGGGUAGGUCGCUUCGUUUCGACGAGAGCUGUCCUGGUAACAGGCAGUCAAGAUAAAUGAUCGCCCAUCUGCAAAGAUGAACAGAACCCGGCUUACUGGCCCACAAUUUUU
rnacentral:RNase_P_RNA from 1 species